GAUGAAGAACGUAGCGAAAUGCGAUAAGUAGUGUGAAUUGCAGAAUUCAGUGAAUCAUCGAAUCUUUGAACGCACAUUGCGCCCUUUGGUAUUCCUUAGGGCAUGCCUGUUCGAGCGUCAUUUAAACCUUCAUGCUAAGCUUGGUGUUGGGUGACUGUCCGCUUCACGGCGGACUCGCCUCAAAAUUAUUGGCGGCCGGUACAUUGGCUUCGAGCGCAGCAGAAACGCGAACUCGGGCCCGUCGUAUUGGCUCCCAGAAGCUAUCUUCACAAUUCUGACCUCGGAUCAGGUAGGGAUACCCGCUGAACUUAAGCAUAUCAAUAAGCGGAGGA
rnacentral:misc_RNA from 1 species